GAUGAACGCUGGCGGCGUGCCUAAUACAUGCAAGUCGAGCGAACAGAUGAGAAGCUUGCUUCUCUGAUGUUAGCGGCGGACGGGUGAGUAACACGUGGGUAACCUACCUAUAAGACUGGGAUAACUCCGGGAAACCGGGGCUAAUACCGGAUAAUAUUUUGAACCGCAUGGUUCAAUAGUGAAAGACGGUUUCGGCUGUCACUUAUAGAUGGACCCGCGCCGUAUUAGCUAGUUGGUAAGGUAACGGCUUACCAAGGCGACGAUACGUAGCCGACCUGAGAGGGUGAUCGGCCACACUGGAACUGAGACACGGUCCAGACUCCUACGGGAGGCAGCAGUAGGGAAUCUUCCGCAAUGGGCGAAAGCCUGACGGAGCAACGCCGCGUGAGUGAUGAAGGUCUUCGGAUCGUAAAACUCUGUUAUAAGAGAAGAACAAAUUGUAGAGUAACUGCUACAGUCUUGACGGUAUCUUAUCAGAAAGCCACGGCUAACUACGUGCCAGCCGCCGCAGUAA
rnacentral:rRNA from 1 species